rnacentral:rRNA from 1 species
CCUACGGGAGGCAGCAGUGGGGAAUAUUGGACAAUGGGCGAAAGCCUGAUCCAGCAAUGCCGCGUGAGUGAUGAAGGCCUUAGGGUUGUAAAGCUCUUUUACCAGGGAUGAUAAUGACAGUACCUGGAGAAUAAGCUCCGGCUAACUCCGUGCCAGCAGCCGCGGUAAUACGGAGGGAGCUAGCGUUGUUCGGAAUUACUGGGCGUAAAGAGUACGUAGGCGGUUAUUCAAGUCAGAGGUGAAAGCCUGGAGCUCAACUCCAGAACUGCCUUUGAAACUAGAUAGCUAGAAUUAUGGAGAGGUUAGUGGAAUUCCGAGUGUAGAGGUGAAAUUCGUAGAUAUUCGGAAGAACACCAGUGGCGAAGGCGACUAACUGGACAUAUAUUGACGCUGAGGUACGAAAGCGUGGGGAGCAAACAGGAUUAGAUACCCUGGUAGUCCACGCCGUAAACGAUGAUAACUAGCUGUUCGGGCUCUACGAGCUUGAGUGGCGCAGCUAACGCAUUAAGUUAUCCGCCUGGGGAGUACGGUCGCAAGAUUAAAACUCAAAUGAAUUGACGG